rnacentral:rRNA from 1 species
UUUCGCCUACGGGACGCAGCAGUAGGGAAUCUUCGACAAUGGGGGCAACCCUGACCGAGCAACGCCGCGUGAGUGAAGAAGGUUUUCGGAUCGUAAAACUCUGUUGUUAGAGAAGAACGUUAAGUAGAGUGGAAAGUUACUUAAGUGACGGUAUCUAACCAGAAAGGGACGGCUAACUACGUGCCAGCAGCCGCGGUAAUACGUAGGUCCCGAGCGUUGUCCGGAUUUAUUGGGCGUAAAGCGAGCGCAGGUGGUUCCUUAAGUCUGAUGUAAAAGGCAGUGGCUCAACCAUUGUGUGCAUUGGA